CGCCGAUGGUAGUGUGGGGUCUCCCCAUGUGAGAGUAGGUCAUCGUCAAGC
rnacentral:rRNA from 1 species